rnacentral:rRNA from 1 species
AACGAACGCUGGCGGCAGGCUUAACACAUGCAAGUCGAACGCACCUUUCGGGGUGAGUGGCCGACGGGUGAGUAACGCGUGGGAAUCUUCCCUUCUCUACGGGAUAGCUCCGGGAAACUGGAAUUAAUACCGUAUACGUCCUGAGGGAGAAAGAUUUAUCGGGGAAGGAUGAGCCCGCGUUGGAUUAGCUAGUUGGUGGGGUAAAGGCCUACCAAGGCGACGAUCCAUAGCUGGUCUAAGAGGAUGAUCAGCCACAUUGGGACUGAGACACGGCCCAAACUCCUACGGGAGGCAGCAGUGGGGAAUAUUGGACAAUGGGCGCAAGCCUGAUCCAGCCAUGCCGCGUGAGUGAUGAAGGCCCUAGGGUUGUAAAGCUCUUUCAGUGGGGACGAUAAUGACGGUACCCACAGAAGAAGCCCCGGCUAACUUCGUG